GCGCCUGUAGCUUAACUGGAUAAAGCGCAAGAUUCCGAAUCUUGUGAGUAGGGGUUCGAAUCCCCUCAGGCGCACAA
rnacentral:tRNA from 1 species